CGGACGGGUGAGUAAUGUCUGGGAAACUGCCUGAUGGAGGGGGAUAACUACUGGAAACGGUAGCUAAUACCGCAUAACGUCGCAAGACCAAAGAGGGGGACCUUAGGGCCUCUUGCCAUCGGAUGUGCCCAGAUGGGAUCAGCUAGUAGGUGGGGUAAAGGCUCACCUAGGCGACGAUCCCUAGCUGGUCUGAGAGGAUGACCAGCCACACUGGAACUGAGACACGGUCCAG
rnacentral:rRNA from 1 species